CCUACGGGUGGCAGCAGUGAGGAAUAUUGGUCAAUGGGCGGGAGCCUGAACCAGCCAAGCCGCGUGAGGGAAGACGGCCCUACGGGUUGUAAACCUCUUUUGUCGGGGAACAACGCCCGGGACGUGUCCCGCUCUGCGUGUACCCUAAGAACAAGCACCGGCUAACUCCGUGCCAGCAGCCGCGGUAAUACGGAGGAUCCGAGCGUUAUCCGGAUUUAUUGGGGUAAAAGGGUGCGUCGGCGGCCGGUUAAGUCAGCGGUAAAAGUUCGGGGCUCAACCCGGGCGAGCCGUUGAAACUGGCGGGCUGGAGUUGGAGAGAAGUACGCGGAAUGCGCGGUGUAGCGGUGAAAUGCAUAGAUAUCGCGCAGAACCCCGAUUGCGAAGGCAGCGUACCGGAGCCAGACUGACGCUGAGGCACGAAAGCGUGGGUAUCGAACAGGAUUAGAUACCCUAGUAGUC
rnacentral:rRNA from 1 species